rnacentral:rRNA from 1 species
ACAGGGAUUGCCCUAGUAACGGCGAGUGAAGCGGCAACAGCUCAAAUUUGAAAUCUGGCUCCCUUGGGGGUCCGAGUUGUAAUUUGUANAGGGUGCUUUGGUGUUAGCUGUGGUCUAAGUCCCUUGGAACAGGGCGUCACAGAGGGUGAGAAUCCCGUAUGUGGCCAGCAGCUUCCGCCUUGUAAAGCCCCUUCGACGAGUCGAGUUGUUUGGGAAUGCAGCUCUAAAUGGGAGGUAAAUUUCUUCUAAAGCUAAAUAUUGGCCAGAGACCGAUAGCGCACAGGUAGAGUGAUCGAAAGAUGAAAAGCACUUUGGAAAGAGAGUCAAAAAGCACGUGAAAUUGUUGAAAGGGAAGCGCUUGCAGCCAGACUUGCCCGUAGUUGCUCAUCCAGGCCUCGUGUCUGGUGCACUCUUCUGCGGGCAGGCCAGCAUCAGUUCAGGCGGUCGGAUAAAGGCUCUGGGAAUGUGGCUCCUCUCGGGGAGUGUUAUAGCCCAGGGUGCAAUGCGGCCAGCUUGGACUGAGGUCCGCGCUUCUGCUAGGAUGCUGGCGUAAUGGCUGUAAGCGGCCCGUCUUGAAACACGGACCAAGGAGUCUAACAUCUAUGCGAGUGUUUGGGUGUCAAGCCCGAGCGCGUAAUGAAAGUGAACGGAGGUGGGAACCCCUUGGGGUGCACCAUCGACCGAUCCUGAUGUCUUCGGAUGGAUUUGAGUAAGAGCAUAGCUGUUGGGACCCGAAAGAUGGUGAACUAUGCCUGAAUAGGGUGAAAGCCAGAGGAAACUCUGGUGGAGGCUCGCAGCGGUUCUGACGUGCAAAUCGAUCGUCAAAUUUGGGCAUAGGGGCGAAAGACUAAUCGAACUAUCUAGUAGCUGGUUCCUGCC